AAGCUACAACACAAAGAACAAAAGUCAGUAGUAACCUUGACUGUAUGAUACAAUCCACAACGCUGCAAGACAAACUGCUAACUUGCAUAAGGGUUGAAACAAAAAUGGAUUCCCUUCCCUUCCAUUCUAAAUUAACUUUAAUUGUUGAUUAAUGGCGGUAUAAAACCAGUUCCAUAUCCCCUAAUCCUCCAUCACCCUUCUUCCUCACUCUAUUGCUUAAUUGUAAUUAACUCUGGUAAUUAAUUCUGCUUCUGCUAAUCCAUGGCAAGCCACAGCCCUUCUUCCGAAAAGAAAUCAGAUACAUUGGAGGUUGGAGAUGUCAAUGAUUUCAAAGUUCAUGUGUUCAAAUCAUCAUCCGAGUUGCUUGAAAAGCUGCAUGACAAGUGGAGCCAAGUUGAAAAGAAACCAUACCCAGCCAUGUUCUCGAGCACUUAUGGUGGAAUUAUUCUUGAUCCAGCUUUGAUGGUGAUUCCAAUUGACGAUCACAUGGUUCAUCGAGGCCAUGGUGUGUUUGACACAGCGGUUAUCUUAAACGGAUUCAUCUAUGAACUUGAUGUCCACCUAAACCGCUUCCUAAGAUCAUCUUCAAAUGCGAAGAUCUCCUCUCCUUUCCCUCGAUCAACUCUUCGAACCAUUCUUGUGCAACUGGCUGCAGCAUCACAGAUCAAGAAGGGAUCUCUAAGAUAUGGCUGAGUGCAGGUCCCGGAAACUUCUUGCUCUCUCCUACAGACCUGCCAACACCCGCUUUCUAUGCAGUAGUAAUUGAUGAGGACUUUUCUCAGUGCAAAGAAGGGGUUAAAGUGAUCACAUCCACCAUUCCCAUGAAAUCACCUGAGUUUGCAACAAUGAAGAACGUGAACUACCUUCCAAAUGUCCUUGCAAAAUUGGAAGCCGAAGAGAAGGGAGCAAAUGCUUCCAUAUGGGUUGAUGAGGAAGGUUACAUAGCAGAAGGUCCAAAUGUGAAUGUCGCUUUUAUAACUCAUGACAAGGAGCUUAUAGUGCCCUUCUUCGAUAAGAUCCUUAGUGGGUGCACCGUGCUAAGGAUGCUUGAACUAGCACCGAAGUUGGUUGAGCAGGGGCGCCUUAAAGCUAUAAGGACUGCAAAUCUAACUGUGGAAGAAGCCAAAAACUCAGCUGAAAUGAUGUAUGUAGGAAGCACACUUCCUGUUUUGCCAAUUAUCGCGUGGGAUGAACAACCUAUUGGAGAUGGAAAGGUGGGAGAAUUGACAAUGGCACUCUCAGAUCUUGUUUGGGAGGAUAUGACAGCAGGUCCGGUUGGUACGCAGAGGACUGCUGUUCCUUAUACCGAGUAAUCAGAUCAGGAGGCAGAAGGAGGGCGUGUUCUCGCAUCUAAGCUGCCUCAUUGAUCAUUACCCCUGGUGUUACAAAUGCUUUGUCGAUGCUCCAUCUUUGGUUUCUUUGUUUAUGAAGAUGGAGAGAAAAUGAUUGAAUAAAAUACUUCAGAAACUUUUCUUGGAAUGAAAAUCUUUUAGCAGAAGAUAUAUUGGAAAAUAUGGGAAACCACAUUGCAGUAAUUUAA